GAUGAACGCUGGCGGCGUGCCUAACACAUGCAAGUCGAGCGGAGUCUUUUACGGAAUUGAAGAAAGCUUGCUUUUGAAGAUGAAGUAAAAUACUUAGCGGCAGACGGGUGAGUAACGCGUGGGCAACCUGCCUUUCACAGGGGGGAUAACACAGGGAAACUUGUGCUAAUACCGCAUAACAUCAACUUACGGCAUCGUAGGAUGAUCAAAGGAGCAAUCCCGGUGAAAAGAGGGGCCCGCGUCUGAUUAGCUAGUUGGUGGGGUAACGGCCUACCAAGGCGACGAUCAGUAGCCGAACUGAGAGGUUGAUCGGCCACAUUGGGACUGAGACACGGCCCAGACUCCUACGGGAGGCAGCAGUGGGGAAUAUUGCGCAAUGGGGGAAACCCUGACGCAGCAACGCCGCGUGAAGGAUGAAGGUUUUCGGAUUGUAAACUUCUUUGACUAGGGACGAAUUUUGACGGUACCUAGAAACAAGUCACGGCUAACUACGUG
rnacentral:rRNA from 1 species